UACAGAGGUCCCAAGCGUUGUUCGGAUUCAUUGGGCGUAAAGGGUGCGUAGGCGGCUCGUUGCGUCGGCUGUGAAAACCCGCAGCUCAACUGUGGGCUUGCAGCCGAUACGGGCGGGCUGGAGUUCGGUAGGGGAGACUGGAAUUCCUGGUGUAGCGGUGAAAUGCGCAGAUAUCAGGAGGAACACCGGUGGCGAAGGCGGGUCUCUGGGCCGAUACUGACGCUGAGGAGCGAAAGCGUGGGGAGCGAACAGG
rnacentral:rRNA from 1 species